rnacentral:lncRNA from 1 species
GUAAAACAGUAAAAACAACCAUAUAGCAGAGCAGGGAGAAGCUCCAGAGGGGCUGACAGGACACAGUACAAUAAAGCAGCCAGCAGUGAUGAUCAGUGGGACAUCAAUUUGUCCUUUGGACUGUAGCACCUGCUACUAAUUGGUGCGAAGAGCUCACCAGUCACUAUGAGGCACAGCACACUCAGCUGUCUCUUGAAUAUGCUGUGAGGAGCAGGAUAGCUAAUUGCUGCUGCUUCCGUGCCAGUGAAUCAACGUGCUGAGCUAAUAGCCACAGAUAGAGGGCAGACAGAUUCCUGCUAGCAGCUUAAGAGUUAGUUGCUUGCGAUAACUAAGGCAGUUGGCAUACACCUCAGAAUGUGGAGAAUGAUGGGAUGUGCAAGAGGCAGCCUUGUCAAGAAAACUUACUUCAUAAUCUUCCAUGGACUAAAGAUGAAACUUUAAACUGCAAGUAAGUUUUUUCCCCUCAAUCUUUUUUUUAUUUUACUUUCAAAUUUAAG